rnacentral:rRNA from 1 species
UACGUAGGGGGCAAGCGUUGUCCGGAAUCAUUGGGCGUAAAGAGCGCGUAGGCGGCCCAGUAAGUCCGCUCUGAAAGUCAGGGGCUCAACCCCUGGAUGCGGGUGGAUACUGCUGGGCUAGAGUCCGGAAGAGGUGAGUGGAAUUCCUGGUGUAGCGGUGAAAUGCGCAGAUAUCAGGAGGAACACCAAUGGCGAAAGCAGCUCUCUGGGACGGUACUGACGCUGAGACGCGAAAGCAUGGGGAGCGAACAGG